rnacentral:rRNA from 1 species
AUACGUAGGGGGCGAGCGUUGUCCGGAAUGAUUGGGCGUAAAGGGCGCGUAGGCGGCCCGGUAAGUCUGGAGUGAAAGUCCUGUUUUUAAGAUGGGAAUUGCUUUGGAUACUGUCGGGCUUGAGUGCAGGAGAGGUAAGUGGAAUUCCCAGUGUAGCGGUGAAAUGCGUAGAUAUUGGGAAGAACACCGGUGGCGAAGGCGCCUUUCUGGACUGUGUCUGACGCUCAGAUGCGAAAGCCAGGGUAGCGAACGGGAUUAGAUACCCCGGUAGUCCUGGCCGUAAACGAUGGGUACUAGGUGUGGGAGGUAUCGACUCCUUCCGUGCCGGAGUUAACGCAAUAAGUACCCCGCCUGGGGAGUACGGCCGCAAGGCUUAAACUCAAAUGAAUUGACGGGG